rnacentral:lncRNA from 1 species
ACAUGGCCAACGAAGUUAUAAGAAACUUCUGCUUCUGCCAUUAAGAGCUCUCAUUAGCUCUCCUUAGAAGGACAAUGGGGAACCAGAGAAAUAAUUUGAACAUGAUAAUCCCAUGAAUACUCGAAGCAAGGUUUGGAAACCUGAAAAGAUCCUAGGUAGUCACAAAGUGGUUCAGCACAGAAGCUGAGGUCUUAGAAUCUAAAAGAAAACAAGGGGCUCUACCCAAGGCAGCAGAAAGAAGGAAAACUGGAGGGACGGAAUCUCUGGUCCGGCCAAGGAAAGUGAGAGCAGCCAGUAGGCCAGGUGGUGCCUGUGGGAGACGGAUGGUAGGGCCAAGUGCCAGUCGAGAGCCAAAGAGAGGAGAAAAGAAGUAUCCUCGGGAACUGUAAGGUUCUGAACGUGAAUGAGUCAAGGUGCCUUAAAGGUAUGAUGAGAUGAAGUAAGAUGUAAAAAUAUCUUAAACAUCUUUCCUUAAUACAGAAAGCUAACUAUAUGAAAUGAGAGGUGCAUUUAAAGGCUGUCAAAAAGAGAAUCUUCUCGAAGACAAAUGGUAUACCUCUUUGGCCAGUCACAAUUCCUAAUGAUGUCAUAAUUUAAAUACACCUACCCUGCCCUCAGGUCUACAACGGGCUCCUCAAACUGUCUCACAACCUUACGACCCUGGUCACGACUAACCGGACCGGCAGUGAGCCGUCGGUCCAACACCAGGAAACUCAUUUGCGAGUCAGCGGCAAUAUUAUCCUUCUCAAGAAUUUCUAUGAAGACUAACUAUCCUCAGAAGGCUAAAAGCACCACCACCCUUCUGGAAUAUACCUGGGCAGUAAAUUCCCCAACCGUGUGGAAUCAUGAUUCUCCUGGGUAACACCUGCCUCUGAAAAUUUAGAGUGCAUCACUGCUACAGUCUUUUGUAACUGGUUGAUGGAACAACAACAACAACAACAACAAAAAUAAAAAUGAAGUUGUCAAAUUCCAAACUGUAGGAUAAAUGAGUUUCAAAGGACCUGAAGAUGUAUCUUAUGUUAUGAAGAGGAAACUGAGGCUAAGAGAGAGGAGAUCAGUUGCUGCAGGCACAGGCAUGUGCACUACCCGGAACGGCUAUGAAGGCUGCCUUCACCAAGCAACUUUGACUCCUUGCCCGGAUGACUGCUUCCCUCCGGAUGCCUGAUGCCUUCUCGUGAAAACAGAAGAACCAGUCGCCAGCACCCAUUU